rnacentral:rRNA from 1 species
GGAAUCAACGCUGGCUGCGUGCCUAACACAUGCAAGUCGAACGCGAAAGUGGAGCAAUCCAUGAGUAGAGUGGCAAACGGGUGAGUAACACGUGGGUGACCUGCCUUCGAGUGGGGGAUAACGUCCCGAAAGGGACGCUAAUACCGCAUGACAUCCUGCCCUUGGAAGGGCGGAGAUCAAAGGCCGGGGAUCGCAAGACCGUGGCGCUUGAAGGACGGGGCCCGCGCCUGAUUAGCUAGUUGGUAGGGUAACGGCCUACCAAGGCAACGAUCAGUA